AUACGUAUCAGUUGCGACUACUAGUGACAGCUAGAAAAGUUCAACGAUGGUGGGAAUUGGUAAAAUAAGCAGAAGAGAAUGUCAUUUUGUCAUCGUUAUUUAUCGUAGUUUAAUAUCAUUUAGUGUAUAAGUGAUAUAUAGUGUAUAGUGAUAUAUUUGAUCAUAAUUUUAUCAAAAAAUAUGAUUGAUUCAUUUCUAUUCUAAUAAAUUGAUCAGUGAAUCUAGUGUAUAUUAGAAUAUAGCAAUAAAUCUUGUUAAGGCUUACUAGUUCGUAAUAAAAGGCAAUGAAUAUGGAUGAUGAAGAAUUAAAUAAACUUGCAGUUGAAGCUCUACUUGAAGAAGCAAAACUCGGUGCACAAAGAGCUGAAAUAAUGGGACCUACUGGAUGGGUAAAGCCUAGAGAGACCGUCAAUAAAAGAUUUCUUCAUUCUACACUACGUAAUGUUCUUAUUUCC